rnacentral:rRNA from 1 species
UGGGGAAUAUUGGACAAUGGGCGAAAGCCUGAUCCAGCCAUGCCGCGUGUGUGAAGAAGGUCUUCGGAUUGUAAAGCACUUUAAGUUGGGAGGAAGGGCAGUAAGCGAAUACCUUGCUGUUUUGACGUUACCGACAGAAUAAGCACCGGCUAACUCUGUGCCAGCAGCCGCGGUAAUACAGAGGGUGCAAGCGUUAAUCGGAAUUACUGGGCGUAAAGCGCGCGUAGGUGGUUCGUUAAGUUGAAUGUGAAAGCCCCGGGCUCAACCUGGGAACUGCAUCCAAGACUGGCGAGCUAGAGUAGGGCAGAGGGUGGUGGAAUUUCCUGUGUAGCGGUGAAAUGCGUAGAUAUAGGAAAGAACACCAGUGGCGAAGGCGACCACCUGGGCUCAUACUGACACUGAAGUGCGAAAGCGUGGGGAGCAAACAGG